rnacentral:rRNA from 1 species
AGCAGCCGCGGUAAUUCCAGCUCCAAUAGCGUAUAUUAAAGUUGUUGCAGUUAAAAAGCUCGUAGUUGAAUUUCGGGAUUUAUCCGUCGGUCGGGCUUUUGGGUCUGUACUGGCGUGAUGAAUUCCUACCUUCUGAAUAACCAGCAUGCCAUUAAUUUGGUGCGCCGGGGAAGCAGGACUGUUACCUUGAAAAAUUAGAGUGCUUAAAGCAGGCUAUUGCCUGAAUACAUUAGCAUGGAAUAAUGAAAUAGGACGGCAUGGUUCUAUUUUGUUGGUUUCUAGGAUCACCGUAAUGAUUAAUAGGGAUAGUUGGGGGCAUUAGUAUUUAAUUGUCAGAGGUGAAAUUCUUGGAUUUAUUGAAGACUAAACUUCUGCGAAAGCAUUUGCCAAGGAUGUUUUCAUUAAUCAAGAACGAAAGUUAGGGGAUCGAAGACGAUACAGAUACCGUCGUAGUCUUAACCAUAAACUAUGCCGACUAGGGAUCGGAUGAUUGUUAAUUUUUUAAUGUACUCAUUCGGUC